UUUGUUUUACUGCUCUACUCUGAGCUGUCAGCCUGCAGCUAACAUUGUGCCUUUCUGCUCCAAGCAAGAGACUCUCUCAGUAAUUUGGCAUUCCCUGAUUGCCCCAGGGUUUGAGGGACAAAACGACAACAUCAUGGGAGAAAUGCUCAUGGGAGAACAUUGUGGGAGAAAAUACAAAGGGGCUCAUUGCUGGGAGACUAGAUCUCCUGAGAAACUCUCCAGCCCUGUGUUUUAUUCUAUAUUCGCUCCGUUCUCUGAAAAUAAAUCAUGUUUCAGAAGGCUUCAAAGAUUAGACUGUAUACAAGUCUCCCACAGGCCUCAGGGAUAUGGGAAAUAAAGAGGAGAUGUGUCAGCCAGCUUUCUGAUCAGACCAAUCCGUGCUGUGGCUGGAAAUACCAGAGGAGGGGACGUUCCCGUUCUGACAGAAUCAGCUCUGGCGUUGUGGCGAGGUUAUUGAUGAGCACCUGUGAUUUGUCGGCGUUCCCCACGCACACCUACUGGCAAGACCACUUCCCUGUGGGUGCCUUGAGUAACUUGGAGCCACUUGGUCUGAGUCGGUCGCAUCGCACAGCAGCCUUUGGAGCCCUUUAUCCCGGACGCACAGCAGCACGUUCUCGGGCUUGAUGUCUGCGUGGAUGAUCCGGCAGCGCCUGUGCAGGAAGUGCAGCCCUGCCAGCACCUGCGGGAGCCACACAGCACCUCAGGUGCAGUCAUAGGAGAGAUCGUGGCAGAUGACCCCAGGAUGAAAGCUGUGACUUGUUGCCAACACUGCCGUGGUGCCCUCACCCAGUUAGAGUCCAGCUCUCACCUGCUGUAAAGAUUUUUUCACGAAAGGCAAAGGCAAUCCGUGGGCUGCAUAGUUACACAUCAGGCAUCGCAGGGAAGGACCCAGGGCCUCAAAUACCAAGCACGUAUGUGGGAGAGAGUCAUGGAUUCACCAACAGAGAGGAGGUGCCACUACCAGCCUUUUAUCCCUCAGCAGGGCAGCCAAAUAUCUCCCCAGCCAACCUCCCCCCUCCACCACCUUCAUGCGCCCUGGUUUUACAGCAUCCUGUGGCUCCCCAGCGCAAGCCCAAGCUUUGCUGACCCAGCAUCACUCCCAGCAGAAGGAUAUGGAGGCCGUUCUCUCCGAUCAUUCUGAAGUCAUCUAACAAACAGACGAUGUUUUCUCCUGCCCGGUCCUUCUUCCUCAUGCUGCUCACCUGAGGGGGAGGAUUUCAAGAAAGCUGCAAUUAGAGACAUAUACAUACACAAGGACGCCUUGCACCCAUUUUGUCCUGUUCUACAGCCUCUCUCUUCAAGGGGUUGACACUUCAUGAGAAACCCCAUGAAAGCUUCAAACAAACCAGGCUCCAAGCACACAAGCAGGGUCUGUUACCAGAGAACAAAUUUCUGUACGUCAUCUUCCCCUGGACCAGCUGUAACCAUGGGCGAUUUGGGGUUGGUUUUUGUGCAGCUGCCAGAUCUGCAGCAGCACCAGGAGGUGCGUGGAAGCCGUGGGGACCGGGCCGCCUCUUCUGGCAGUGCUGCGGGCACAGACCCUGUGCUGGUGGAAGUGGCCCUGGGAACAGCUACGUCCUGCUGAAUGGAAGGCGUGUCGUUCGGAGAGAAGCAAUAAGAAAUUAAGGCCCAGCUCCUCAGGCUGAGACCUGGAAGAAGGGAUGGUGAGGCUGAUUCUCUGAACUCAGCAGCAAAGCACACAGCCUGUGAAUUUUACAUACGCAUCGGAGGAGAGAGACCUCGUCCUGGGCAGCCUCAGCAAAGCCCUCCCUGCUCUUCAGGACCUUCACAGCUACAUUCUUCUUCUUCCUACAAAACGAACCAUGUCUGUAAGCCAGUGCACGCCAAGGUGGCCUGUGAAAGGGACAAGCCCUGCCCAGGAGAGUGGCCGUCCCUCCCCAGGUGGCGGCCAGCCCCUCACCUCGUGUCCUGGCACAGCCAGACGGUGGCAAAGGCCCCGCAGCCCAGCUCGCGCAGAGCCUGGUAUCGCGUGUUGAACACCUCUCCUUCCCGCACCGGGUGGUGGCCUCCUGUGGGGAGCGUGGCCAGGAGCCGUUACUGAUGGCCUUAACCACCCUCAGACUGACAGGGCAGCUGAGGACAGCGUCCUCCCAGAGGGACAGACGGACGGACGGGUCCCUGUGACCCGUGAAGACCCCGGCACGAUGGCUGCGGUGUGAGGACUGACCUGAGCGCUGUGCUGCUGGCUCCUCCUCCUGCACCCGCACCUCCAUGGCGGUGUUCCUGCAGGUCCUGGCAAGAGGGGACAGAACCAGUGGUGCAGUGUCUUGCAGGUUAGUCCUUUAAAGAGAGUUAGAGACCAGGCAGCUGCACACGUUGAUCUGCACAGCUCCCGUUUGCUCUUCUAUCCCUGCUCCCCAUUUCUGCUUGAUCCAAACCUGGAACUGGGCUGUUGGGAACAUUUUGGGCACCUCAGCGAGGUAGGGAUUAUUUUAGGAUUAUUUUAGGAGUUCAGGGGAGGAAAGCUGAUGGGCUGGGGCUGGACUCCUGCCUCUCAGGUGGGAAUCUAAGGGUUCCCUGUGCCCCGCGUGGAUUCCCAGUGGCUCAGGGGGACCAUGGGGCCCCUCCGUGGCUGUGACACCGGCCUGUGCAGAAGGCCAGCCUCCAUAUGCACCCCAUCUCGGGGCUUUCACUUGCAGGAGGAGCUUCGCAUCCCAGGUAGGUGCUAAGCAGAGCCUGUGUUUCAAAUGCUGCCCUGCACAUCUGUCUGCAGCCUGGGGCCAGAGCAGGGCUUUAUCACUGACCAUCCCGUGACCCCCUACAGAGAGGCCAUAGCGGAGGGGAGAGGCUGUUCCCCGGCGUGUUUCUAUGGCAGCAGAAGGUACAAACACAGGCAGCGCAGACAGACAGAUGCAACUGCUGCUCCCCCAGCCCCGCAGCACCGGUGUGGAAUUGGCUUCAGCACUGGUCACCUGAAAUAGCACCCCCCAGCCCCACGUUGCUAAUGGAAAUGUGGAUUUACACUGCCACGGGCUGGGUGCUCCCAACCCAGCGUUCCAUAAUUCGGAAAUGUCACUUGCUGUAAGCUUCACAUGAACUCGCGUUGCCAGAGCUUGUGACAGGUGAUAAUAACCCAAGUAGGCCAUUAGCAGGGGUAGAAAUAUCGACCUUUAAAUCCUUCAGAAUCAGGUUGCCAAACUCAGAGCUUGUCUGCACCGGAGGAAUUUCAGAAACAGGCCCAAUGGGCUGGCAAUGAUGGUGCGUGCCCUGUCACACGCCUCAUGGCAGCAGCCACAUGACUGGGAGCUGCCCCGGGACAGUAACAUCUUCCAGGUGCUGGAACAGAAGCACGACUUCCUCAAAAGCCUAGAAUUUCUUUCCAUACACUGACAACCCUAUCCCAGUACAGCAACGGAGCCAUUGCCUGCCUUUGGGCACCAAGCGAGCUCCCAGCACAUUUCUAAUUAAGGCUCAGACUGGGCUGAAGGCUGCUCGUGUGGUCAGGGAUACCCAGAACUUCCAGAGCUGAUACUGCUCCAUUUACCCUCGCCCAUGGAGUGGUGUGCAAGGGACUCAGAAUGCCUCCAGCUCCAUUACACCUCAGAUUCAGCAUUUACACGUGCUCUGAGUCAGCCUCCUUUAGGCACAAAUCUGCAGGAUACCGCAUGUCCGCAUAGCCACUUUGUCAAAUAUUUACCAGAGUUCGAGCUGUGCAACAGAGGUGAGGCCAGAACUGUCCUCACCUGUGCACAGACAGCCUAGCAGUAACCCUGCACGCCCCUGCACCACCAGGUACACCCAAGACCUCUCAAUUCGCAUCUUCCAAGGUUUUGGCACAUCAUUAGGACAGUGCACAUCGGUCUGAGAGCUGGGCAACAGCCCUAAAGAUUUUAUUUCUUAUGUCACUCAGCAUCCACCUACCAAAGGAAUAAUUCAAGAACAUGCGGGGAUGAGAGCUCAGCAGCAUCUCCCCUGGAUGGAUUUUUAUGUUAAUAGGAGUUUUGCUUUUGUCAUUAAGAGCUGCAUCAUGCAGAACCCGCUGGGUUGUUGCAGGCCUGGAGCAGGUCAGAAAACUCAGCCUGAAAACCUGCUGCUCUCACCUGCUCUGCGGUAGCUCCAACGGGCAGGGAGGGAGUGGUGGUGCCUCACCUCUGCCUGCACAGCUCCACCUGCAGAGAGGGGUGCAAGGAGCUGCCCCUGCUGCUCACCAUACAUCACAGUGCCUGAAGCUGCAGAGUCCAGCAAUACUCCCUCCAGCUUCUGCACGAGUACAGCCCUGGCUGAGUGCAGCAUCCCCACGAGUCGCGACACACAGCGCAAAUCGCGACACGCAGCACAAAAGCAGCCCCAUGGGCACGCAGGGCUCAGCCCCAAUGCCCUCAGACUCACCGUGAAGCAGCUCAGGAGGCCGGGCACGCCACCCCGCUCGUCAUCUGGCUCGUGCUGGAGCUCCCAAAAGUGAGCUCCCACCUGGUGCUGCUUUCCUUUUAGCCUGUGCUGCCCGGGAGGGGUGUCCUUGAGCAGACCAAGCCCUUCGGCAUCGCUGGCUGGACGUGCUGAGGAGCGGGGCAGGGUAUCGGAUCUCAGCACCGUUUCUGGGAACAACCUUGGCUGCAGGGCAGCAGGAGAGCCGGGACAGCUGCGGUGGGUUUGCUUUACUGCUGCACCUGUCUGCGCAGCCCCUGCCUCGGCCGCCCUGGCAGCAGGUCCAGCAGCCUGCUGCGGCUCCGCGGUCUCCACAGCAACUAUUUAUAGAGGGAAAUCCACAGCUCUGCCGAGAUGGAAACGGGAAAGUCUUCCCCCUCUGCUCCUGAACCCGGAAAACACGAGGCUGCCUGGUGGUUCCCAGAGGGAACACGCUCCCCGAGCCCCCACGUGUGGCACUGCCCACCCAGGGCACCCAGGUACAGCGCGGUGCAGCAGGCACACUCCAGGUGGGGGGACAAGGACACGGCUCCUGCACCAGCGAGGCAGCAUGGCUCUCCACAGAUGCUGCACGAUGGCUUUGGUGCAGGAGCAGCUUCCCCCGGCAGAAGGAAAGGAUUUGGUGCAGAGCAGCCUCGCUGGGCGCCCCAGCAGCCUUGCAGCACUGAGGAGCGGCCACCCGCAGCGAAAGCACUUCGCUAUUUCCCCCCGGCCACCUGCAGCAGAGCUUGGCAGCCCCGGCCGUCCCCCAGCUGGGGCCCUUGUGCUGUGCAGCUCAGGUUUCCUGGCUGAGCCUGCAGAGAGGCAGCCCCAGAGCAAGGGGUUAAUCCUGCCCCGCUGCCAAACCAGGAGCCAGGGCCUCGCUUCUCCCCCUGCCUGUGCCCCUCACCUGCCGCCCCCGGCACUAAAAAUACCAGCGCAGGGGCAGAGACUGCAGCGGGGCUGGGUGCUGAGAGCCAGGGCUGGGGCAGCAGCGAGGGAGAGAGCUCUGCAACCCCUAAAAGGUCAGCAAGAACACAGAUGGAUAGGUGAAGGAGGGACUACAAUGCAGUGACUAUAUAUAUAAUAUAAAUAAAGUUGGAAAGAAGCCGACUAUCUAAAUCUCUGCUAAUAAAGUAAGAGGGGAGGCAGGAUAUAUGGCCCUGAAGCCAGCUAUAGGAGGCCGGGAAGAGCUGUGCAAUUCGCUGACAAAUUAAGAGUCGUUCAGCUAAUUGAGGAGCGCUGGUUUCUGCCUCGCCCUGGUGGACACCAGCGAUGAGCACAGAGCACAGCUCAGGCAGCAUCGCCCCCACCCACCCUAGGAAAGCAGCCAGGCAUUCCCCCAAGGGAUUUCCCCCACUCACACCCCAAAAGGUGAGCACAUUGGGGGCAGCUGCGUCACCGUGCAACACAAGCGGGACACGCAGGUUGUAUAUUAAAAUUUAUUGAAUUAUUGUGUAAGAAUUCUCUUUAUUAAAAUCAUUUGGACUCUAAACUGAUUAUUUACAGACAAAACCUUUUAUAUCACCAAUAGAUUCCUACAUCUCAGAACAGUAUCUACAAACAGUUAUUACACUAUGUAACAAAAUUCAGAUUUUUUUUCAAGCUUUUUAUAUUAAUUAUUAAUUCCAAUUUGAGAAAGACAGUACCUCGGGUGCUCUGAGCAGAACUCAAGGUGUGGCAGGGUAUAAAUGCAGGUCAGGCCAUACCGUAACAGAGACAGACACCACGUCACACGGCUGGGAGAGGGCAGGCACCAGGACAGAGGACCAGGAGAAGAGCUAUGAGAGCAAACCGGGUGUUCAGGAAACCAAAACCAUCGUCCUGACAAGAAAGGCACCAAAAAAGCAGCGUCUCGCUGCGACUGGGGCACACCCUGAAAAAUAAAUGGCAUUCCACCAAAGCAGCGGGAUCCAAGAACCCUUUUAUUUUCUUUAAAAAGAAACUAACCAUCAUUUCUCUGU